UUAAUCUGGUUGGACUUAGGGUAGAAAUUGACAGAAGAGAGUGAGCACACAGAGGCACUUGCCAUAAAGCGUAUGCCAUUGCUUUUGCGUGCUCAUGUCUCUUUCUGUCAGCUUCCCCAUUUCCACUGCCGGAUUAA